GCAAGUCGAGGGGUAACGAUUAAAUAGCUUGCUAUUUAAGGCGACGACCGGCGCACGGGUGAGUAACGCGUAUGCAACCUACCUUUAACAGGAAGAUAGCCCCGAGAAAUCGGGAUUAAUACUCCAUAAUAAUAAGAGAUCGCAUGAUUUUUUAUUUAAAGCUCCGGCGGUUAAAGAUGGGCAUGCGUGACAUUAGUUAGUUGGUGAGGUAACGGCUCACCAAGACAACGAUGUCUAGGGGUUCUGAGAGGAUUGUC
rnacentral:rRNA from 1 species